UACGUAGGGGGCAAGCGUUGUCCGGAUUCAUUGGGCGUAAAGAGCUCGUAGGCGGUUGAGUAAGUCGGGUGUGAAAACUCUGGGCUUAACCCAGAGCCGCCACCCGAUACUGCUCUGACUUGAGUUCGGUAGGGGAGCAGGGAAUUCCUAGUGUAGCGGUGAAAUGCGCAGAUAUUAGGAGGAACACCGGUGGCGAAGGCGCUGCUCUGGGCCGAUACUGACGCUGAGGAGCGAAAGCGUGGGUAGCAAACAGG
rnacentral:rRNA from 1 species